AUUGAACGCUGGCGGCAGGCCUAACACAUGCAAGUCGAACGGUAACAGGAAGCAGCUUGCUGCUUUGCUGACGAGUGGCGGACGGGUGAGUAAUGUCUGGGAAACUGCCCGAUGGAGGGGGAUAACUACUGGAAACGGUAGCUAAUACCGCAUAACGUCGCAAGACCAAAGAGGGGGACCUUAGGGCCUCUUGCCAUCGGAUGUGCCCAGAUGGGGUUAGCUAGUAGGUGGGGUAACGGCUCACCUAGGCGACGAUCCCUAGCUGGUCUGAGAGGAGAACCAGCCACACGGGAACUGAGACACGGUCCAGACUCCUACGGGAGGCAGCAGUGGGGAAUAUUGCACAAUGGGCGCAAGCCUGAUGCAGCCAUGCCGCGUGUAUGAAGAAGGCCUUCGGGUUGUAAAGUACUUUCAGCGGGGAGGAAGGGAGUAAAGUUAAUACCUUUGCUCAUGGACGUUACCCGCAGAAGAAACACCGGCUAACUCCGU
rnacentral:rRNA from 1 species